UACGUAGGGGGCGAGCGUUGUCCGGAUUUAUUGGGUUUAAAGGGUGCGUAGGCGGCCGAGUAAGUCAGCGGUGAAAUUUUGCAGCUUAACUGUAACAGUGCCGUUGAUACUGCAUGGCUAGGAUUUGGUUGCUGUGGGUGGAAUGUGUGGUGUAGCGGUGAAAUGCUUAGAUAUCACACAGAAUAUCAAUUGCGAAGGCAGCUCACAAAGCCAAGAUUGACGCUGAGGCACGAAAGUGUGGGGAUCAAACAGGA
rnacentral:rRNA from 1 species